rnacentral:rRNA from 1 species
GCUUGUCUCAAAGAUUAAGCCAUGCAUGCUUUGAUUCAUCAAUGAAAUUGCGUACGGCUCAUUAGAGCAGAUAUCACCUUAUCCGGGAUCCUCAUAUGGAUAACUGCGGAAAUACUGGAGCUAAUACAUGCAACUAUACCCCAACGCAAGGCGGGGUGCAAUUAUUAGAACAGACCAAACGUUUUCGGACGUUGUUUGUUGACUCUGAAUAAAGCAGUUUACUGUCAGUUUCGACUGACUCUAUCCGGAAAGGGUGUCUGCCCUUUCAACUAGAUGGUAGUUUAUUGGACUACCAUGGUUGUUACGGGUAACGGAGAAUAAGGGUUCGACUCCGGAGAGGGAGCCUUAGAAACGGCUACCACGUCCAAGGAAGGCAGCAGGCGCGAAACUUAUCCACUGUUGAGUAUGAGAUAGUGACUAAAAAUAUAAAGACUCAUCCUUUUGGAUGAGUUAUUUCAAUGAGUUGAAUACAAAUGAUUCUUCGAGUAGCAAGGAGAGGGCAAGUCUGGUGCCAGCAGCCGCGGUAAUUCCAGCUCUCCUAGUGUAUCUCGUUAUUGCUGCGGUUAAAAAGCUCGUAGUUGGAUCUAGGUUACGUGCCUCAGAUUCGCAAUUUGCGUCAACUGGGGGUCGUGACUUCUAAUUUGCCGGUCUUGAGUCCUUAACAGGAUUCUUAACAGGCAUUGCAAGUUUACUUUGAACAAACCAGAGUGCUUCAAACAGGCGUUUUCGCUUGAAUGGUCGUGCAUGGAAUAAUAGAAAACGAUUUCGGUUCAGUUUUAUUGGUUUUACGGACUGAGAUAAUGGUUAACAGAGACAAACGGGGGCAUUUGUAUGGCCCCGUGAGAGGUGAAAUUCUUGGACCGUGGCCAGACAAACUACAGCGAAAGCAUUUGCCAAGAAUGUCUUCAUUAAUCAAGAACGAAAGUCAGAGGUUCGAAGGCGAUUAGAUACCGCCCUAGUUCUGACCGUAAACGAUGCCAUCUCGCGAUUCGGAGGGUUUUUGCCCUGCCGAGGAGCUAUCCGGAAACGAAAGUCUUUCGGUUCCGGGGGUAGUAUGGUUGCAAAGCUGAAACUAAAGGAAAUUGACGGAAGGGCACCACAAGGCGUGGAGCUUGCGGCUUAAUUUGACUCAACACGGGAAAACUCACCCGGUCCGGACACCAUUAGGACUGACAGAUUGAAAGCUCUUUCUCGAUUUGGUGGUUGGUGGUGCAUGGCCGUUCUUAGUUGGUGGAGUGAUUUGUCUGGUUUAUUCCGAUAACGAGCGAGACUCUAGCCUGCUAAAUAGUUGGCGAAUCUUCGGGUUCGUAUAACUUCUUAGAGGGAUAAGCGGUGUUUAGCCGCACGAGAUUGAGCGAUAACAGGUCUGUGAUGCCCUUAGAUGUCCGGGGCUGCACGCGUGCUACACUGGUGGAGUCAGCGGGUUUUUCCUAUGCCGAAAGGUAUCGGUAAACCGUUGAAAUUCUUCCAUGUCCGGGAUAGGGUAUUGUAAUUAUUGCCCUUAAACGAGGAAUGCCUAGUAAGUGUGAGUCAUCAGCUCACGUUGAUUACGUCCCUGCCCUUUGUACACACCGCCCGUCGCUAUCCGGGACUGAACUGAUUCGAGAAGAGUGGGGACUGUCGCUUCGAGGUUUAACGACUUCGUUGUUGCGGAAACCAUUUUUAUCGCAUUGGUUUGAACCGGGUAAAAGUCGUAACAAGGUAGCUGUAGGUGAACCUGCAGCAGGAUCA